UAUUGAUUUGUAUAGAAGCUUUCGAAGACUAUUUUGUAUGCUCCCACCGCAGUUUUUGAUUUGUAAAACAAUGAGCUGCAAUCAAACGUGAAUCGUAGGUUAUGCCAGGAGUAAGCUAUAUAGGAGUGUUGCAAUAAUCCAGUAGUUUCUGUAUUUGUGUUCCAACUCCCAUAACGAGGUUCAAUUGCGAUGUUUCUAGCAUGUCAAUGCUCAAAUCAAGUAUAUCAAUACUGGCAUUGUCGAUAGCGACACACAAAAAGAAGGGAAAGCAAGGAUUUGAACCCUCAACUUUUUAGUUGUAUAGUACACAACUUAACCACAACGAUGUCCCCUCCGAGACAUUCAGUUUGAUAGGACAUUCAAAUCUCAUGGGAUAUAAAACUUAGUUUGGGCCGCCACAUGUUUUAGCAACAAUUUAUUUGAUCUUGCAAACUUGAUUUAUCUCGCGUCGGACGCAACUAUUGGAUGAAACAAUUUAUCUUGCAACACCUGUAUCGGAUUUGCAAUUGGGGUAUAUGAUGAAGAAGCAUUUGAUGCAAGAGCAUAUGAUUUAGCUGCAAUCAAGUAUUGGGGAACGUCUACUUUCACUAAUUUCCGGUGACUGAAUAUGAAAAAGAACCGGAGAGGAUGGAUAACACAACACAACCCAACCAAGGAGGAGUAUUAGGCCUAAUCAUAUAAUUAAGAAUUAUACUCAUAUAAAUGCACUCACUUGCAUUUAAUACACAACGAAUUUUAAGUAGAGAACCAUGAAACUAGAUAAACAAUUGUAUGUAUGCAGUUCAUUUAAUGCAAAAUGAUACAGUUCUCGCACUUCUGUACUUAAAAUGACUUUCACUCAUUUAAAAAGGCUUUAGUCGACGAAAAGGGAAAUAGUCAGCUUGCUAAUUUUGAUUGGUGUAAGUGGGUCCCUAUCAAAUGCAACAUUGUGACUUGGAGAGGAAACUUGGAUAGACUUUCUACGAGAGUGAAUUUAAGAAGGAAUGUGGACAUUGGUUCUGCUAUGUCCCCUUUUUGCAACGAAUUUGAGGAAACGGUGGAACACCUUUUUACCGCUUGCGAGGUGGCGAGUCGGGUCUGGUCGGAGAUAGUGGGUGGUGUAAAAUUCCCCCGAUAUAUUUUUUCAACUUCAAAGACAUUUUGGAAUUGCACAGUCAUUCACAAGUUGGAAAAAAGGCUAAAAAAUCAUUCAAGGUUUGAUUAUAAUUUCAUGUUGGUGUCUAUGGAAAGGGAGGAACGGUUUAUUGUUCAAAGAUAUCAGGCGAAGUACGCAGGAGAUUGUUAGGGAGAUCAAAUCGAGAGGGUUUUCUUGGUUUAAAAAUAGAACAUCUUGUAAUUAUAUUAGUUGGGGUGAUUGGUGUAAAUACCCUAUGUAUAUGUUGUAAUUUGUUGCCCUUUGCCCGUUUGGGUCGGGGGUGCUUGUGUUGUUUGGCCUUUUGCCCUUUUGGGUCGGAGGUGUGUUUUUAUUGAAGUUCUCUUUUCAAAAAAAAAAAAAAAAA